rnacentral:rRNA from 1 species
GCGGCAGGCCUAAUACAUGCAAGUCGAACGGUGUCUUCGGACAUAGUGGCGCACGGGUGCGUAACACGUAUGCAACCUACCUUACAUUGGGGGAUAGCCUUUCGAAAGGGAGAUUAAUACCGCAUAAGACAGUAACUAGGCAUCUAGUAGCUGUUAAAGAUUUAUCGAUGUAAGCUGGGCAUGCGACCAAUUAGCUAGUUGGUGAGGUAAUGGCUCACCAAGGCUAUGAUUGGUAGGGGAACUGAGAGGUCAAUCCCCCACACUGGCACUGAGAUACGGGCCAGACUCCUACGGGAGGCAGCAGUAGGGAAUAUUGGGCAAUGGACGCAAGUCUGACCCAGCCAUGCCGCGUGCAGGAUGAAGGCGUUAUGCGUUGUAAACUGCUUUUAUACAGGAAGAAACGACUCUUGCGAGAGGCAUUGACGGUACUGUAUGAAUAAGCACCGGCUAACUCCGUGCCAGCAGCCGCGGUAAUACGGAGGGUGCAAGCGUUGUCCGGAUUUAUUGGGUUUAAAGGGUGCGCAGGUGGUUUAUUAAGUCAGUGGUGAACGACGGUCGCUCAACGAUUGCAGUGCCAUUGAAACUGGUAGACUUGAGUAAAGUAGAGGUGGGCGGAAUUGAUAGUGUAGCGGUGAAAUGCAUAGAUAUUAUCAAGAACUCCAAUUGCGUAGGCAGCUCACUUGGCUUUUACUGACACUCAUGCACGAAAGUGUGGGUAUCAAACAGGAUUAGAUACCCUGGUAGUCCACACUGUAAACGAUGAUAACUAGGUGUCGGCCGAAUCUGGUCGGUGCCACAGCGAAAGCGUUAAGUUAUCCACCUGGGGAGUACGCCG